CUCGAAUGGGGACAUGUGCACGCUCUGUUUACACAUCCACUCACACCUGUGCACCCUCUGUAGUUUUAUGGUCUGGGGGACCCUGUCUUCCUUCCGUAGUUCUACGUCUUUACACACACACUGUAAUAAAGUCUUAUGGAAUGUAUGCCGCGUCUAACGCAACACAAUACAACUUUCAGCAACGGAUCUCUUGGCUCUCGCAUCGAUGAAGAACGCAGCGAAAUGCGAUAAGUAAUGUGAAUUGCAGAAUUCAGUGAAUCAUCGAAUCUUUGAACGCACCUUGCGCCCCUUGGAUAUUCCGAGGGGCAUGCCUGUUUGAGUAUCAUGAACACCUCAACUCUCAUGGUUUGCCAUGACGAGCUUGGACCUUGGGGGUUUUGCUGGCCUGUGGUCGGCUCCUCUCAAAUGAAUCAGCCUCCCAGUGUUUGGUGGCAUCACGAGUGUGAUAACUAUCUACGCUCGCGGUUGCCCACCAGGUAACCUUUGGUGACAAAGGUUCGCUGGAGCUCACAGAUGUCUCUCCUUAGCGAGGACAGCUUUUUAACGUUCGAUCUCAAAUCAGGUAGGACUACCCGCUGAACUUAAGCAUAUCAAUAAGCGGGAGGAA
rnacentral:rRNA from 1 species